rnacentral:tRNA from 1 species
GAGGUUGUGGCUCAGUGGUUGAGCACUUGCCUUGCAUGUAUAAGGCACUGAAUUCAAUCCUCAGCACCACA